ACCUCAGUAAGUAUUUAUUUUUAAAACAGACCCAAAGUGCUUCCAAACUUGCUUCAUACCAUUAGUCUACAACUGGCUGGAAUUUUUAGCCCCCAUGUCCUGUUUUUAGGACCAGUUUCAUAGAAGCACCCAAAUGACUUGACAUUUUCACCUGGACCAGCU